CGGUUUGUGCUUAGUUACAUGGUUGCCUUUGCGAUUUUAUUCGACAGGGUCCCCUCCCCACAGGUGAUCAACUUAAGAAUCAAUCCUAUACUUAACAGCUAGUUGUUCAUCAGGCAGGGUAAAUUAGUAUAGACUGCUGAACUUUUGCCGAAAGGGUUAAAGCGAAAAGUCGGCGUGAGUAGCUAGAGCAAGUGAUGGAUCGCCGCUUGGAUUUUAAAAAACCCUCAACUGAUGCUUCAAAUUUCAGUCUUUUUCAGGCUGUCCAGACUCUGUCACAUGCUUGCAUAGUUGCAUCCUGUGCUGCUUCUUGCUGUUGCUCUGCUUU
rnacentral:lncRNA from 1 species